AUUGAACGCUGGCGGCAGGCCUAACACAUGCAAGUCGAGCGGAUGAAGGGAGCUUGCUCCUGGUUUCAGCGGCGGACGGGUGAGUAAUGCCUAGGAAUCUGCCUGGUAGUGGGGGAUAACGUCCGGAAACGGGCGCUAAUACCGCAUACGUCCUGAGGGAGAAAGUGGGGGAUCUUCGGACCUCUCGCUAUCAGAUGAGCCUAGGUCGGAUUAGCUAGUUGGUGGGGUAAAGGCCUACCUAGGCGACGAUCCGUAACUGGUCUGAGAGGAUGAUCAGUCACACUGGAAGUGAGACACGGUCCAGACUCCUACGGGAGGCAGCAGUGGGGAAUAUUGGACAAUGGGCGAAAGCCUGAUCCAGCCAUGCCGCGUGUGUGAAGAAGGUCUUCGGAUUGUAAAGCACUUUAAGUUGGGAGGAAGGGCAGUAAGUUAAUACCUUGCUGUUUUGACGUUACCAACAGAAUAAGCACCGGCUAACUUCGUG
rnacentral:rRNA from 1 species